rnacentral:rRNA from 1 species
GACGAACGCUGGCGGCGUGCCUAAUACAUGCAAGUCGAACGAGAGCGACCGGUGCUUGCACUGGUCAAUCUAGUGGCGAACGGGUGAGUAACACGUGGGUAACCUGCCCAUCAGAGGGGGAUAACAUUCGGAAACGGAUGCUAAAACCGCAUAGGUUCUACAGUCGCAUGACUGAAGAAGGAAAAGAGGCUUCGGCUUCUGCUGAUGGAUGGACCCGCGGUGCAUUAGCUAGUUGGUGAGGUAACGGCUCACCAAGGCCGUGAUGCAUAGCCGACCUGAGAGGGUGAUCGGCCACAUUGGGACUGAGACACGGCCCAAACUCCUACGGGAGGCAGCAGUAGGGAAUCUUCCGCAAUGGACGCAAGUCUGACGGAGCAACGCCGCGUGAGUGAAGAAGGUUUUCGGAUCGUAAAACUCUGUUGUUAGAGAAGAACAAGUGCUAGA